rnacentral:rRNA from 1 species
AUUGAACGCUGGCGGCAGGCCUAACACAUGCAAGUCGAGCGAGCGGCGGACGGGUGAGUAAUGUCUGGGAAACUGCAUGAUGGAGGGGGAUAACUCCUGGAAACGGUAGCUAAUACCGCACAUCAUCAGAUGUGCCCAGAUGGGAGUAGCUAGUAGGUGGGGUAACGGCUCACCCAGGCGACGAUCCCUAUCUGGUCUGAGAGGAUGACCAGCCACACUGGAACUGAGACACGGUGCAGACUCCUACGGGAGGCAGCAGUGGGGAAUAUUGCACAAUGGGCGCAAGCCUGAUACAGCCAUGCCGCGGGUGUGAAGAAGGCCUUCGGGUUGUAAAGCACUUUCAGCGGGGAGGCGUUACCCGCAGAAGAAGAACCGGCUAACACCGUGCCAGCAGCCGCGGUAAUAC